CACCAAAGCCGCUCUAGUCACUCGGGGAACACACAAAGAGCCCCCUGGCAGGUUCAGACUCACAUACAUGAGAGAAGAGGCAUGUUCUGUGAGACCUUUGGAGUGCAUCUAGGGAAGACUCGAAGCAAAAGAAAUGCAGCUCGGGACCUGGAUCUCCAUCCUUGAGCACAUGCAUGGAGCCUCCGCAUGAGACACCCACACCCCGCAUCUACCUGCAUUACAACUAAGAAGCUCCUGUUCACCUGACCACCUCAAAGAGCCAGUGUGAGAAGAAUUCGGCUGCCUUCAAGCUGGCAAGGCUGACAGAUGGGCUUCCAAUAUAUGCUGUCCUCAGAGAACCUUGGGGCUCUAAUACCUGUUACAACAGAACAGAAUUUUCAAAAAUAUAAACUCAACAUAAAGAUUUAGA